rnacentral:rRNA from 1 species
AACAAAUGCCCUGCUUCCAGGAAAAGCCUCUAAGCAUCAGGUAACAUCAAAUCGUACCCCAAACCGACACAGGUGGUCAGGUAGAGAAUACCAAGGCGCUUGAGAGAACUCGGGUGAAGGAACUAGGCAAAAUGGUGCCGUAACUUCGGGAGAAGGCACGCUGAUAUGUAGGUGAAGUCCCUCGCGGAUGGAGCUGAAAUCAGUCGAAGAUACCAGCUGGCUGCAACUGUUUAUUAAAAACACAGCACUGUGCAAACACGAAAGUGGACGUAUACGGUGUGACGCCUGCCCGGUGCCGGAAGGUUAAUUGAUGGGGUUAGCGCAAGCGAAGCUCUUGAUCGAAGCCCCGGUAAACGGCGGCCGUAACUAUAACGGUCCUAAGGUAGCGAAAUUCCUUGUCGGGUAAGUUCCGACCUGCACGAAUGGCGUAAUGAUGGCCAGGCUGUCUCCACCCGAGACUCAGUGAAAUUGAACUCGCUGUGAAGAUGCAGUGUACCCGCGGCAAGACGGAAAGACCCCGUGAACCUUUACUAUAGCUUGACACUGAACAUUGAGCCUUGAUGUGUAGGAUAGGUGGGAGGCUUUGAAGUGUGGACGCCAGUCUGCAUGGAGCCGACCUUGAAAUACCACCCUUUAAUGUUUGAUGUUCUAACGUUGACCCGUAAUCCGGGUUGCGGACAGUGUCUGGUGGGUAGUUUGACUGGGGCGGUCUCCUCCUAAAGAGUAACGGAGGAGCACGAAGGUUGGCUAAUCCUGGUCGGACAUCAGGAGGUUAGUGCAAUGGCAUAAGCCAGCUUGACUGCGAGCGUGACGGCGCGAGCAGGUGCGAAAGCAGGUCAUAGUGAUCCGGUGGUUCUGAAUGGAAGGGCCAUCGCUCAACGGAUAAAAGGUACUCCGGGGAUAACAGGCUGAUACCGCCCAAGAGUUCAUAUCGACGGCGGUGUUUGGCACCUCGAUGUCGGCUCAUCACAUCCUGGGGCUGAAGUAGGUCCCAAGGGUAUGGCUGUUCGCCAUUUAAAGUGGUACGCGAGCUGGGUUUAGAACGUCGUGAGACAGUUCGGUCCCUAUCUGCCGUGGGCGCUGGAGAACUGAGGGGGGCUGCUCCUAGUACGAGAGGACCGGAGUGGACGCAUCACUGGUGUUCGGGUUGUCAUGCCAAUGGCACUGCCCGGUAGCUAAAUGCGGAAGAGAUAAGUGCUGAAAGCAUCUAAGCACGAAACUUGCCCCGAGAUGAGUUCUCCCUGACUCCUUGAGAGUCCUGAAGGAACGUUGAAGACGACGACGUUGAUAGGCCGGGUGUGUAAGCGCAGCGAUGCGUUGAGCUAACCGGUACUAAUGAACCGUGAGGCUUAACCUU